GUCAACCACUACUUAUAUGUUAUUGGGCAAAUCAUUCAACCUCUGGGCCAUAGUUUUCUCAACUAUAAAAAAGAGGGUUGGGCCAGGUGAUCAAUAAGAGAGAUGCCUUCCAGCUCUAUAUCCCCUGACUGCUAAUGAGACUUUCCAAUUCACAUCUCGUCCAACACAGGCAUGUUUGAGUUACUAAACCUUACAAAGUUGAGACAGACAUGGAAGAAGAUUCACAGAAGAAUGAGAGACAUGAUUCAAGAUAUGGAAGAUACAUUUUAAAAGGCAAAGAUCUGGAGAAGAGAAGAUACUUUCCUCAGAACAUUUGGAAGAAAAAGAAAUCUCUUCAAGUGAAUCAAGUAUGGUGUAAAAUCAUUAUGGCAAAUUUUCCUCACAUUCCAAAGUGAUGAAAACAAAAAAUUAAAAAAAAAGAUUAUCAGCAGAAUUCCUAAAAUAUGCUUUUCAUAUGAUAAAAAAAAAUCUGAGAUUCUUCCACCAAAAUCUACAUCAUUAGGUCAAAUUAGGUUCUCAAACACUAUGCCGCUUACAGGUGAAAUUGUUGCAGGUCUU
rnacentral:lncRNA from 1 species